GGGAAACUCUUGCAGCCCAGCAGUGAUGAAUCUUGAUGUUCUCAGCUGUUAAACAGACCUGAGCAUUGCCCCAGAGUGAAAGAGUCCCAGUAACCACUGCUUUUGCAGCAGCAGCUGUGAGCCUGCCCACUACUUGAUAUGUAAUGCAUUUGUCAUACAGCCUGGGUUGAAAGAAGUCAAACAGAGUAAAAGUCUAUUAUCUAAAGCUUCAGUCAGAAGGGAGGUACCUACUUAACUUCUCUCCUGAUGCUGAUGUGAACACAGCAUGUACUGCUCGUAGGUGGUGACUGAUAAGAGGAUCUGUGGUGGGGCUCCUUACCUGAGCACAGCCAGCGAACAGCCAAAUCAAGCCCAAGGUCACCAUAGAAGGGAGAGAAGAUUCAGAUCCACAAACUCUUGGGAUUGGCUAAUAGAAGAUCUCUGCUGUGAAGCCCAUCUUCAACAUGGCAGGGUCAUUGUUUCCCUCUGGCAAAGGAGAUUUUGUUUGCAACAGGUGAGGUUGAGUUGGUGCAAACUGCAAGCUCUGUGUAGUAGUAACUCCACCAGCUUGGAGGGUCUUUAUCAGAGAACAUCACUCAGUGAUUCAUACAAAAGAGGACAAGAAGCUGAUCUCUGGACAGGAAGCACAGAAAACUUCUGAGCUCGUGCCAGACCUCAGUGAAGUCUAAGGGAGAGCCCAAGAGUUCCAUCAUUGUUCUGUCAUUGUCCUCUCCUGUUAGCACAUGGAGCACAAUCAGACAGCAGUCCUACCAAGAGCCUCUAGGGGCUACUGCAGUUUAAUAAAUCACAAUAUAUAAAAUGCAAACCAGUUUUUAGUCUGAUAUGGGCUGUGUUAAUCUCUGGUGUGCUAUCUUGGACUUCAGAAGAGUUACAAGCAAUGGAAUAUUGCCCACUGAACCUUUGCUGACUGUUCUCACAUUGCCAGGAAGGAUAAAGGAUAAAGUUUUCUUUUGUGUGAGAGGGCCUGAACUUCCAACAUCUCCAAGAGCGCAGGCAACUGGUUUGCUUGAUGUGUCAGAGAAAGAGAGAGAGAAGAAAAAGUCUCCAUGUCUCAUGCUGCAGCCUGAUCAUAGCUGUUUCCAAGAGAGCUGA
ensembl:lncRNA